rnacentral:rRNA from 1 species
GACGAACGCUGGCGGCGCGCCUAACACAUGCAAGUCGAACGAGAGAGAGGAAGCUUGCUUCCUUAAUCGAGUGGCGAACGGGUGAGUAACGCGUGAGGAACCUGCCUCAAAGAGGGGGACAACAGUUGGAAACGACUGCUAAUACCGCAUAAGCCCACAGCUCGGCAUCGAGCAGAGGGAAAAGGAGUGAUUCGCUUUGAGAUGGCCUCGCGGCCUAUCAGCUUGUUGGUGGGGUAAUGGCUCACCAAGGCGUCGACGGGUAGCCGGCCUGAGAGGGUGACCGGCCACACUGGGACUGAGACACGGCCCAG